GGAUGUGAGGGUCCUUACCAUCAUAAAGCUGGCAAGAAGAGAUGGAGAAAAAUAAGCAGAGUUUUUUUUUCAUAUUUUAUGGAACUGGCCAUUCCUUGCUGUAUUCAUCCCUAAUUUUUUAAAAUACAACCUCAUGAUUUAUUUCUUAUUAUGUGCUGAAACAGACUUACUUCAGAAACUCCAAUAAUCCUAUGGAGCAGCAAACUGCAAAGAAAUAUCUUGACAGAGUAAUAUUUUUAAUCUCCAAAAAUAUUAUAUUGCCUAUGGGCACUGGGUUAAACAACCCCUACGGGGCCUGCCUAACCAAUUCUGUGUAACCAAUCCUUAUAUCUCCAAUGUGAAUACAUCUUUCUCACAGAUGGAUAACAGGUGCUCAGCUGUUGGAAAGGACAAGGAUUCAUGGGCCUGGAAGGUUCAGUGCUUUUGCAAUAUGUUCCCACUGAACUUGAUCAUCUGUGGCCCAGGCAGACACACUGGACCGGAUCUCUAUGCCAUAUACAGAAGCUAAGGGAAGAUAGCUUCACGUAAGGGAAGAUGCUGAUGUUCUCUUACAUCUAAUUUUCUAAGUGGGUUUGUUCCUACAGUUCCUGUCUUUCUCUUGAGUUUGUUACCCACUGUAUCUCAGAAAUAAGUUUGAUUACUGUAUUAUGCCACUAGAAAAGGAGAUAUGUAAUCAGAGUAAGACCAAAGCUAACUAGGUAUUGGUAUGUUGAAUGUUCUAGUCUUGAAUUUGUUUCCAAAGUUCUCAAGUGCAGCUGAAGUUGCCGCACUUUGUCAAAUAAAACAAGGACAGCUUGAAGUAUAAACUG
rnacentral:lncRNA from 7 species